GAUCCCCGACUUCCAACUCCUAUAAGGAAAACAAAGCUAAAAGGGCUGAGCUAAUGCUCAGUGAGAUUUGCCGAGCAAGUAACAUUUAAUAAACGCUUAAAUCAGUACAAUUAAGCAAGUAGUGCACAUUUCACUGUACAAUCACUUUCAUUAAGCAAUUGAGGAAACGCUUCACUGAACAAUCAUUUUUAAAAGGAUACGGUGCUCGCAUUAGAGCCACUUCAAUGCACUACACACUCCACCGAACUCCUCCUUAUAACCUCCAAAACAAUAAACACUUCCCUCACUUAGAUGGCCAUAUCAAUAUUAAUAAUAUGCUACUCUGUGGUAAUACUCGAGUAUACUGAAACACUUACUCAAAGCUACCCUCCUACUCAACCAAGCCCUUUGCUGGCUCGAAUAGUUCAUUGAACAGAGGGUUUUGGGGCCUAAUUCAGCCAGUGUGAUAAAGUACACACACAGCUUACAGUCAUGCACACUUACAAUAUCACUUGAUCAGUAUCAACCUUCAAGCUCAACUAAGGUGAGUACGAUAAAGUACACUCUCGACUUAAAAGGCGAGGGACAAUUGAGAUACACUUUGCAAUGAAUCACUUAGCAAUAUUUCAUAAUAAGUACAUUUAUCACAUGAUUUCACUCAAGUACACUUAAACAGUUAAACAGGUAAAUUCGGAAGCACUCAUCAAAUAGCCUCGCGUUUGUUUCCUGGCUCACAGCUACUUCCUGGGGCAAUUUAAUAAGUUCAAAGUAAAUAUAUAAUUUGUAGGUGAUCACUUAUCAUUCUUACUUUAUUAUCUAAACUAUUAAAAUCAAGUUUGACCUUAAAAUACAAUUAUAUUCUUUAUUUACCAUUUAUCCUACAUUGUAUUUCGAAACCUAUUAAUUUUAUCAUUUAAACCAAGAAUUAUACAUAUGUUCUAAGGUUAUAGUUUUUAUAGGUAUUUAAAUUAGCUGUAACCUAUUUUCCACCUAAAAUCUUAAGAUGCAAGCUUAGAAACACUCCAUCGGUUCUCCUUUUAUCUAGCCAAAGUCUAAAUUGUGUGUACUUUAAAUUUUAUUUCACUACACUAGCCUCUAAGUUUUAUAGUCUUUAAAAUACUUGUAAAGACAAGCUUAAGUGAUUAUAAGCCAUUUUAGAAAUCAAAGUUCAAAGUUGAUAAAUUUUUUAGAAGUUGGCAACUUAGUAUUCCUAUGAACUUCCUUGAUUAUAUCCUGUAUUUUGAAUGAAUUUUCACAAGUAAAAUUAUUAUAAGGUGGUUUGAAGGGGUUUUGAUCAGUUUUGGUUCAAGUUCGACUUUUAGAAUUCAAGUAAAAUUCAAAAUUUAAGCACUUGUUUAAGAAUGGUUCAAAACAGCUUUUCAGCAAUAGGUAGUCAAGUUUCUUCCUUUAGUUUGCUAUUUUCUUGCUUAAACUUCCUCAAUUCAAGGUACAUUUUACUAUCAUUCUGUUAUAGGUCGUUUUUGGUUAAGGCUUAGCUAAAAUUUUCAGAAAAACUCAACAAUACAAUCGAAAUCAUCCAAUCAACCCAAUCUACCAAAACAGUUCUGCAUGCUUGAUUAGCUCCCCUUUUCUUUCUCUAAGAUUCAAUUAUUUCCUCUCAAAUCAGGACAAUCACAAUAUUCAGAGUAAAACAGAGGAGUAGGGAUGUUUUUAUCAAUAUAUGCAUAUAUUCCAGGUUACAAGAUGAAAUCUAAGUUUGAGAAAACACAAGAGCAUUCUUGGUUCAAAUCCGGGAUUUCCAGCCAUAUAUCUUUACCAAAAUUUCAUUUAAUGCAUCAAACAUUAACCAAAUUUGACAUGCAUUCAUCAUUGAACAUAAUAUAUAAUCCCUAGUAGGAUUUCCAUCAAGAAAUUCACCAAAAUCAACAUUUAAAAGCUAUCUAACUAUCCAAGUUUCAACAUAAGCAAAGCUGGAAGGAAAUCCAGCAAACAUUCGGUCCAAGUGAGGGAUUUUCCCAACAAAUUUCAUCAAAUCCAUCCCAAAUCGACAUGCAAUCUCAUAACCACUGAAAUGAGAACAUGUAACUUCUAAAUCGAGCAAAAUUUUGGAGAAAAGAGCCAAAAAUUGCAGCUUUUCUUUCGUUCUGUUGUCAAGAAAAUUUUCCAGCUGAAGAAGCACUGAACUUCCCCGGACCGAGCUGACCUGAUGAGCUCGGUGCGCUGAUGAGGAGCUCGUGUCCCAAGCCUGCAAAACAAUCGAGAGGGUGAUCUGAUAGGAGAGCCCCGAGGACACUCCGACGAUCAAGUUAGUUUUCCGGUGGGUGAGAUUCACGGGAAGUAAAGCAGUCGGGAGUAAUUGGCGUAUGGUGAGCGUACCUUAUGCAGUUGAUGUGUGUUACCAUUUAUACCUGCUUGGGAGUCCGACCUGCCCAGAAUAGCCUCCAUCCCGCACUGAGGGGGAGCAAUCCCGACCUAGGCGGGAUGGUUCUCUGGAGCCCCUUGGAACCCUAGCGGCGGGGGGUCGCUUGGACAGUUCCCGUGGGCCUGAGGGUCUAAGCCCAGCUCAGGCACCCCUGGGCUGCCACGUGUGUGGGCCCAGGACGGGGCCUUUGCACUAGCCCCCUAGAUUAGGUAGGGCUUCCAGGCCGACCUGAUCUACAUCCUUGCCACGUGGGAGCCCAGUUUCGCACCGCACUGCCGCGGUCACCUCCGGCACAGUGCUGUCAUUGGAAAGCUGCGCCCGCGUCCUUUCAGAUGUCGCGUCCCCUUGGUCUCCGUACCGCUCUUAAAUGCGUUCACAUGGGGCGGUUCAAAUUCAAGCAACCGUUUUCCCCCCAUUCCAUUCCCUAUAAAUAGGGAUUCCCCAACUUUCUCAGACUCUAUUUGCCAUUUUUCCUCCCUUCGUGCAUUUUCAAUUCCCAGCAACAAGACUUCCGGCUUCCAGCACCCAGAUUCCGGCGACUCCUUCAUCCUUUUUUCCACCCCACUUACCAGUAAGUCUUCUUUUUCUCCUCCUUCGCAUUUUCUUUUCCUCCUUUGCCAUUUUCUGCAUUUUAUGUCGGAUCGCUCCGGCGUUGCUUCCACCGCCUCCCAAAUUCCGACCCGUCGUAGAGCCCCCAGAAUCCUCAUUUCUUCUUCAUCUCCGUCCUCAUCUUCAUCUUCACCUUCUCCUCCCCCUUUCUCUUCUUCCUCUGCUUCCAAUCCCAACUUCUUCAUCCCUGACUUGUUCGAACCCAUUGACAUCAUGAGCUCUCCAUCUGCCCAUUCUCCUUCUGCCCGAUUCCAGGAGGAGGUGACCGAGCUUGAUGCCCUCAUCGAGCAGCAAGCCACUUCUAACCCCUCCCCCAAGUCUCCACAUGACUCCCCUGGCGGAGCCUAGGGGAGAGCUGGGGAGGACAGGGACUCCUCCGAGGGGACCCCCGCUUCCGAGCAGGGGGAUGAUUCUGAGUUCAACUACGGUCACCCCGACCGGGAGGAGGUCACCCUCUCACCCGGGGCGGUGGCCGAGCUGGCUGGGUCUUUUUCCAUCCCUCCGGCCUUCGAGCCGCGAGCCGCCGGACCCACCGAUCGAGUCUGCCGACCUCCCCCUGGCUUUGUAGCCAUUUACAGGGAGCAGCUGCUCGCUGGGCUCCGGCUCCCCAUUCCUCCAGCCUUGGCGGAGAUCCUGAGCUACUGGGGGCUCCGGAUCACCCAAGUCCAUUCCAACUCGAUCAGGAUCAUCAUUGGAUUCCUGAUCUACUACCAAAUCUGCUCCAUCCCCUACUCACUUUCCCUCUUCCGGGCCUCUUACAUCCUCAAGCUAUCCCUCCCUGGGUGGUACUACUUCUCCAGCCGAGGGACUAGCCAAGUCCGGGGGGGAAAGGGCACCCAGGAUCUAUUCUAUGGGGUCCCCUCUUCCAUAAAAAAUAGGAAAGGGGACUUCCUCUUUGUAAAAUUCACGAGCUUUCCCCCGAGCGUGUGGAAGGUCGGGGAGGUCGACUCCGACCCCUAUCCGGAGGACCUGGACCCCGAGGCCCUCGGCCAGCUGAUGAGCUCCAAGGUGAAACUCUUCGCCGCCAAGUUCUCCACCGAGCAGAUCUCUGCGGCCGGGCUGAUGGGGACGUUGUCCGGGUCCCCUGGAGAGGUGGUGGCCUCCCCUACUGACCCUAAAGCUUGUAACGCCGACUCUGUCCCUGUAGCUCGUUGUAUUUGCAUAUAUACUGCAUUUCUUUCCUACUGACUUUGCUUUGGCUGACCUGGCUAUGUUUGUCGCAGUGAGGAAGCUCUCCAGGCUACUGGGCGGGACAAUCGAGGAGGCAGCUCCCACCAAGCAGCUUGAGGCAGCGAAGAAGGCCUCCGAGGCCUCUCCGACCCCUGGGGGAAGUUCGGCCCCCCAGAAAGAGGCCUCCCAGUCUCAGUCCCCCUCCAAACAGGCCGCCGCCAAAAAGAAUGCGCCAGGGCAGAAGAGGGGCCGAGAGGACGAGCCUUCCCAGCCCGGGAAGAAGCCAACGCCAGCCCCAGCACAGCGCCCUCUCCUGUUGACGUCGGGGGGCCCUGUCCACUUGGGGGUUGGCUCCGCGGAAGAGCACGCUCGGGAGAGCGCUCCCCCGAGCUUGUGGCAGUUCUGCUACGUGGCCCCCACGAAGCCGGGGCAAGCCCCCACCAUGCACGACCCCUGCCACUUCUACCCGUCCUGGGAGCUCUCCAUCAAUGACCGGGCCCUAUUCCCUGAGGUGGCUCGCGAGCUGGUCACGGGCUUAGUCCUUCCACGCGACAGAAAGUGGAUGGAACUGGCCAGCCCGUCCGAGCUCCAGGACGUGCACUGUAUCACCCAAGCCCAAGUAAGCCCCUUUUCCGCUUAGGCCCCUUGGGUCACUGUUCUUUCCCUUGAUGAAGUGCUCAUGUUUACUUUCUUUUCCUUAGGCCAGCGCAGCCGAUGCUGCCCUGGGGACCCGCUUCUCCGAACUGUCUCCUGAUUUAGAGAAGUUGCAGAAGAAGCAUCGGGAGACCGAGCAGAAGCUUGCCCAGGCCCUUAAGGGGGCGGACUCCCUUAAGGUCAAACUGGGCAAGGCCGAGAAGGGGCUGGAGGAGGCCAAGUUCCAGCUUGCCGCCACCCGGUCCGAGCUGGACCAGGAGAAGAAGGGCGUGGCGAAGUUGAGGGAGGACCACGCCAUUGAGCUCUUCGGCACCAUCAGCCGGGAGCGCAAGAAGGCUGUUCGGGAGUUCAUCUCCUCUGACCAGUUCGCCGAGGACGUGGCCUUCCUCAACCAGCCCAUCCUCCAGGUCGGCGUCACGCGGGCUCUGGACCAGGUGAAGGGCCUCAACCUGCCCGGCUUCAACUUGGCUGACUUCAAGGACUACAACCCCGCAGCCGAGGGGAAGCUGGACUGGCUGUUCGACGGGUACUGCAAAAGGCAUGCCCUGAAGGAUCUAGUGGGCAGGAGCGAUGUGGGGACCGAGCUGGCGGAACUUCCCCUGGAGGAGGAGGAGGCUCCUGGCAGGGCUUCCAGGAAGGAGCCAGUGGCUUAGGGCAGCGGCCACUCCAGAAACCCUUUCCAUCCUCUUAUAAGGAUGUGGCCAUGCCCCGCAGUUCAUGAUCCCCACAGAUCCUUUUUAACAGCCUUCUCCACCUCCCAACAUGCUUAAGGUGUACCUUCAGCUCCUGCCUCAAGCAGGCCGCCAGCAAGAUGAAAGCAUACCCUUCACCAUACGCCUCUCAACAUGCUUAAGGUGUACCUUCAUCUCCUGCCUCAAGCAGGUCGCCAGCAAGAUGAAAGCAUAGCUAGGUUCCCCUUCCUUGUGUAGCUCGGUAGGCUUUGUAAUAGAUAGGGUCUGAAUGAAUAUAUGAGAUGAAGUUUGAAUGGGGCUAUCUGAUAUGCCUUUCAAUUCCUUAUUCGCAGCGAACUCUAGUAACCGAAAAGGGAUACCGACCUCCCGGGUCGAGCUCCAAAUAGGUCCACCAAGGCGGCGUGCCGACCUCUUGGAUCGAGCAUCUAUCGCCCUUUAAGCUAACGACUAAGUGUCAGGGACACCAAACCAUCAAACCAUCAGGCUGAUUUAGUAAUCGAAUUCUAAUAACCGGAGUGACGCGCCGACCUCCUGGGCCGAACACCACACCUCUAGGCUUUAAGUUACGCCGACCUCCUGGAUCGAACGUCGGUCCUGAGUCACUGGAGCAGCGUGCCGGCCUCUUGGGUCGAGCAUCCGCCUAACCAUAAGCCAACAAACAGUUUGCCAAAGGGCAGCAAACUGGGGUCCCAUCAGACGACCAAGCUAAACUAACAACCAAAUUCCAACAGCCUGGGCGGCGUGCCGACCUCCUGGGCCGAGUACCGGACCCAAGGCUCUUUUUAAGCUGCGCCGACCUCCUGGGUCGAGCGGCAAACUUCUAAAGCCAGCCCUGCAGACCUCCUGGGUCGAGCAUCAAUUCUCACACUCCAAAGGCCUUCCACUGAUUCAUCAUCUAAAUUCGUCCCUUAGCCAACGACCUUCUGGGUCGAGCACCAAAAUUGGAAAGACAAUCGUGCCGACCUCCUGGGUCGAGCGCCGAUUUCUCAGAUUUGAAAGGCAUUCCAUCCGUUAGCAUUCAUGCCGACCUCCUGGGUCGAGCGUCAAAUUUGAAGGUAAUCAUGCCAACCUCCUGGGUCGAGCGUCGAUUUCUCAGAUUUGAAGGGCAUUCCAUCCGUUAGCAUUCAUGCCGACCUCCUGGGUCGAGCGUCAAAUUUGAAGGUAAUCAUGCCAACCUCUUGGGUCGAGCGUCGAUUUCGUAAAAAUUCUAAAGAUAAUCGUGCCGACCUCCUGGGUCGAGCGUCGAUCUCUCAGGGCCCCCCACUAGGACACUUAUCAUUAUCUGAGUGUGCUAGUGUAGAAGUGAAAAGUUAAACGACAUUGAUAAUGAGAAUGGACUUAAAUUGGAAAGCCGAACAUUUAUUUAAUGAUGAACUGGUACAAAGGUUCCAAAGAAUACAGGAAGAUACCCUGGACCAAUCUAUUCUACAAACAACCGCAAAUUCGAGAAGUGCCAAGUGCGGGGUACCUCUUCACCAUCUAAUUUGGCAAGCUUACAGUACCUAGCCCGGCUCGCUUCGAGGACCCUGUACGGCCCCUCCCAGUUCGGACCGAGCUUGUUGGAGCUCUGAGCUCGGCUGACUGAGUUCUUUCUUAGGACGAGGUCUCUCGGCUGGUACUGCGUAUUCCUCACCCUCGCGUUAUGAUAGCGGGCGAGUUGGCUUUUAUACUUAGCCAUCCGUAUCGCCGUUUCCUCACGCGUAGCCUCCAGCAUGUCUAAGUUGCACCUCAGUUCUUCUUCGUUGGCUAACGCCACGAAGUUCUGUGUCCGAGGCGAGGGGAGACCGACCUCCGCGAGCACCACCGCCUCCGCCCCGUAAGUCAGGGAGAACGGGGUCUCCUGAGUGGCUGUCCUUGGCGUAGUGCGGUAAGCCCAGAGGACGCUAAGGAUUCAUCUAGCCAGUUAGACUGGGCUAGUUCCAACCUAGUCUUAAGUCCUUGCAGAAUGGUUCGAUUAGCAUUCUCUGCCUGACCGUUGGCCUGAGGAUGUCCAACCGAUGUGAAGUGUUGGCUAAUCCCGAGCUCGGCGCACCAGCUCCUGAAGGGAUUUUCAGCAAACUGUCGCCCGUUGUCGGAUAUCAAGACAUGCGGGAUCCCGAAGCGGCAGACUAUGUUUUUCCAGAAGAACUUUUGAAUCGCCCUUCCGAAAAUAGUGGCCAGGGGUUCGGCCUCCAUCCACUUUGUGAAAUAGUCGAUGGCUACCACGAGGUGUUCGUACCUUCCAGGAGCUCGGGGGAGGUCAAUCCCCCACUGGGCAAAAGGCCAAGGACUGUGGAUGGGGAUCAUCUCCCGAGUAGGUUGGUGGCGUAACGGGGCGUGCACCUGGCAGACCCGGCAUUUCUGAACAAGAGCUGCGGCAUCCCGAAACACCGAGGGCCAGUAGUAGUCUAGGAGCAGACAUUUUUUGGCCAACACCCGGGACCCCCAAUGUGCCGCGCACAGUCCUUCGUGAACCUCUCGGAGGACAUAGUCACCCUCCUCGGGAGUUACGCACUUUAGUCAGGGGAUAAGUACGACCUCCUGUAGAGGGUCCCCCCAGCGUAGGCGUACCUUGCAGCCCUGAGCUGGAGUCGGCGAACCUCGGUAUUGUUCACUGGGAGGGCACCCGAGCUGAGGAAGUCUACGAGGGGAGUCAUCCAAGUGGCCGGGCUGUCUAUAGCCAGAACCUGGACCUGGCCAAUGCUCUUCUGCUUAACUACCUCCACUAAGACUUCCUUGCUCAGGUGGGCAAACGAGGAGGACGCCAGUUUCGACAGAGCGUCCGCUCGCUUGUUUUGUGACCUUGGUACCCGUUCGAUCUCGAAGAGGUCGAACAACUUUAUCGCCUCCUGCACCUUAGCCAAAUACUUUUUCAUGACCUCUUCCUUGGUCUCGUACUCCCCGCGGACUUGGUAGACUACGAGUUGAGAAUCGCUCCGUACUCUGAUCGCGGUUAUAUCCAUCUGGUGGGCUAUCCGUAACCCAGUCAAUAGCGCUUCGUAUUCAGCCUCAUUGUUGGAUGCUGGGAUGUCAAAUCUGAGAGCAUAUGUCAGUUCCUCCCCGGUGGGCGAGGUAAGCAGUAAGCCAGCUCUGCUCCCUUCCUUAAUCGAGACCCCGUCUAUGAAUAGUACCCACGGCUUUUCCGGCCGUGCCUCCUUGGCCAAAGAGCUCGGUUCAGUCACUGACAAACUGGCUCCCUCGGGGAGGAAGUCUGCCCGGGCCUGAGCUUUGAUAGCGGUGCGAGGCUGAUAGCCGAUGUCGUGCACGGCUAUUUCGACGGUCCAUUUGGUCAUUCUGCCCGAGACCUCCGAUUUUGUGAGUAUCUGCGGCAAGGGUUGAUCUGUAAGGACGGUAAUGCUGUGGGCUUGGAAAUAAGGUCGGAGCUUCCGGGCAGCGUGCACCAAGGCGAGGACCAAUUUUUCCGCCGGCGUGUACCGCGUCUCCGGCCCUUGUAAAGCUCGGCUAACAUAGUAUAUUGGCCGUUGAGCCCCCCUGUCCUCCCGCACCAAAACCGCGCUAACGGCCUCGUUGCAAGCAGACAAGUAUAGGAACAGGGUCUCUCCCUGCUCCGGGGCGGUCAGAGCUGGCAGCCCGGCCAAGUAUGCUUUUAGGUCGGUGAAGGAUGUUUGGCACUCCUCCUUCCAUUGGAAGUCCUUUGGUGCUUUCAGGAUUCGAAAGAAGGGCAACCCCCUCACCGCGGAGCGCGAGAGGAACCUGUUCAGGGCAGCCAUUCUCCCCGCGAGCCGUUGGACCUCCUUGACGCUCCUCGGGGGGGGGCAUGUCCAUGAUGGCCUGGAGCUUAUCCGGGUUGGCCCGGAUCCCCUCUCGGGAGACCAGGAAGCCCAGGAACUUUUCCGACCUGACCCCAAAAGUACAUUUCUUUGGGUUCAGUCGCAUCCGACUUUCCCGCAGAAUGUUCAAGAUUCCCCUAAGGUCGGGGACGAGCUGCCGACCAGUCCGGCUCUUGACGAUCAUAUCGUCCACGUAGACCACCAUACUCUUGCCGAUCUGAUCCUGGAACAGUUUGUUGACCAGACGUUGGUAGGUAGCUCCAGCGUUUUUUAUCUCAAACGGCAUGGUGCGGUAGCCGUAAGUUCCUUCCUCGAUGAUGAAGGAGGUCUUCUCCCGGUCUUCUUCGGCCAUUUCUAUCUGGUGGUAUCCCUUGAAAGCAUCCAGGAAACACAAAACGUCAAAACCAACAGUAGAGUCUACUAACCUGUCGAUCCUCGGCGGGGGGAAACAGUCCUUCGGGCAGGCUUUAUUGAGAUACGUGAAGUCCACGCACAUCCUCCAGGACUGGUUCUCCUUCUUCACCAGAACGGGGUUGGCUGACCAGGUCGGGUAGUACACCUCCAGGAUGAUUUUGGAUUCCAACAACUUGCCCACCUCCUUCCGGAUCACCUCAUUCCUCUCUGGGGCGAAACUCCUCUUCUUCUGCUUCACUGGCUUGAAGCUGGGGUCUACGUUGAGGUGGUGGACAGCCAGGUCGGUAGGAAUCCCAGGCAUGUCCUCUACCGUCCACACGAAGACCUGGGCGUACUCCCUUAGUAGGGGCUUCAAGCCCUCCUUUUCUUCGGGGGGUAGCGACGCACCGACGCGGAGGACCUGGUCAGGCAUGUCCUCUCUCAAUGGGAACUCCUCGAUCUGGUCCUGGGUGCCCAGCUGCCGGGCCUCCUCCCCAGGGAAGUAAGGCUCCAAACUAGUUGUCUGGGCGACCACCUUCUCCUGUCCCCGGAGCACGGCCAGGUAGCAAGCUCUGGCCACCUCUGGAUCCCCAUGCACCUCAACUAUUCCUCCCGAGAUGGGGAAUUUGACGCUGAGGUGCAGAGACGAGGGGAUAACUCGUAGGGCAUUCAAGGCGGGCCGUCCCAAGAACACGUUGUACGGGGAUUGUUGUUUGACCACCACGAAGUUGACGGGGAUGGUCCGGCAUUUGGGCGCCUGCCCUACCGUGACCAUCAGUGUGAUCAUCCCCUCCGGAGUGAUGGGCGGUCCGGUGAAACCCACCAGGGGUGUCCGAACCGGGGUUAGCUUUCCAUCCUCCAAGCCGAGCUCCUUGAACACCCGGUAAAACAUGAUGUCCACCGCGCUCCCCUGGUCAACGUACACUUUUUUCACCCGGUAGUUAUUAGUCAUGACGUCUAUCACGAUGGCCUCGUGGUUUCCAGACGCCAGGGGAACCGCGUCCCUUGGUCCGAAGGUGAUUUCUUCGUCCAUACGCAGGCGCUUCAAGGAGUCAUCCCCCUCCGGAGGAGGUCGCCUGUUCUUCCGAGCUGUAUGGCUGUCCCCUCCCGCGGGACCCCCAGCGAUGGUGUUUAUUACCCCUGCCAAGUUCUGGGUGUCUUGGUCGGGGGAGUGGGCCCGAGGGACGUCACGCCGCUCGGGGCGGUCGCGACGCUGGCCCUCUCCCCUGUCUCCGCGGUAGGUGUGCCCCGACUCCUGGCCUGGUCGACCUUGCUGCAUGAAUCGCCCCAGGAAGCCGCGCUGGAUCAAAUCCUCUAUCUCCUUUCGUAGGACCCAGCACCCCUCCGUAUCAUGCCCAACAUCACGGUGGAAGGCACAGUACCGGUCCUGGUUCCUCUUGUUCCGGGAUGUCCCCAUCUUAGGGGGCCGCCCCACUAGGCCCUCCGCCUCCAUAACGGCCAGAACUUGGGCUCUGGGCCGAAUUAGGGGGGUGUAGCCUUUUUCUGGAAGCGGCGGGCGAGCGGGGGCUUUAUCCUUCGCGAGCCGGUCGAACACAUUCUUCUUGGCCGGGCCGUCCUUAUUCUCGGACGGGUUUACCCGUUCUCUCCGAUCUCCGAGCUCCCGAUCUGACUCUCUCUUCAGGCGUGCAGCCUCCUCCGCAUUAGCGGCUGCGUGCGCCCUAGUCAAGAGCUCUUCCAGGUCUCCGGGAGGCUUCUCGGCGAGCUUGAGAAAGAGUUUUUCCACCCCGAGCCCGUUCAUGAAGGCGGCCAUGACCACCUUUUCAUCCUUGUCCCUGAUCUGCAAGCUCUCCGUGUUGAAGCGGGUCAUGAAGUUCCUCAGGGACUCGUCCGGCUUCUGCCUGAUUGCCAUCAGAUGAGUCGCAUUUUUCGAGUAAGUCUUCGAGGAGACAAACUGGGCGGAGAACUGCCUAGCCAGCUCGGGAAAACUUCGAAUGGACCCCGGCGCCAGAUCUUGGAACCAGAGCCGGGCCUUUCCCUUCAGGAACAUGGGGAAGGUUUUGCAGCAGAGCCCAUCCGCGGCGAUUUGCAGGCGCAUAUGCGUCAGGAAGACCGAAAGGUGAUCCUCCGGAUCGGUCGAGCCAUCGUACAGUUCGAUAUUCGGGAUCUUGAACCUCCGGGGUAGUGGGUAGUCCUCUAUUUCCCGGGUAAAGGGCGAGGUGGUGUAGUUGUCCUCGUACAACUGCGGCCGCAAGAUCUGCUCAAGCUCGUCCCGGACAGGCCUCCACUGGGGGUGGUCCCGUGGCCGACUCUUGAUAGAUCGGGCGGGGGAGCGCUCAGGCUCCUUCCGCGCAAGCUUCCACGAUGAGAGAUUCCUUGGUCGGCCCCCAGCGGACCGAUCGCGAGAGUACCCCUCGCUGUCCCCGAUCACCGAGGCCCGCGGCCGAGGGAGAGUUCGUUGUCGUUUCCUCCUGGGAGGCUGGUCCCGUGACUCAUCCUCCGAGGGAACGGGAGGUGAUUCCCUCUCCUUCCCCUUCGCCUUGGAGGUUUGGGCGCCCCCGGCUUCACCCCCCUCCUUUGCUUGCCGAAUUAUGUCUUCUAGCAUGGGAAGGUUCUCCGUCACGAACUGAAAAAUCUGCUGUCUCCGUUCCCCUGAAAGGGCUGAGGCCCCGGCGCCCCGAGCCGCCUCGGUCUCCACCCGCCGGGACCCCUCGUCGGCUCCGGGACCCCGAGCCGCCUACGGUUCGCUUUGAACGCGUUCUCGCCAUCAACACAACUACUCGUACCUUUCUUCGUUCCCACAGACGGCGCCAACUGAAGAAACACUGAACUUCCCCAGACCGAGCUGACCUGAUGAGCUCGGCGCGCUGAUGAGGAGCGCAUGUCCCAAGCCUGCAAAACAAGCGAGAGGGUGAUCUGACAGGGGAGCCCCGAGGUCGUCCCCGAGGGCACUCUGACGAUCAAGUUAGUUUUCCGGUGGGUGAGAUUCACGGGAAGUAAAGCAGUCGGGAGUAAUUGGCGUAUGGUGAGCGUACCUUGUGCAGUUGAUGUGUGUUACCAUUUAUACCUGCUUGGGAGUCCGACCUCCGUACGUUUCGGGACCUGCCCAGAAUAGCCUCCAUCCCGCACUGAGGGGGAGCAAUCCCGACCUAGGCGGGAUAGUUCUCUGGAGCCCCUUGGAGCCCUAGCGGCGGGGGGUCGCGUGGACGGUUCCCGUGGGCCUGAGGGUCUAAGCCCAGCUCAGGGACCCCUGGGCUGCCACGUGUGUGGGCCCAGGACGGGGCCUCUGCACCAGCCUUGCUUUUGCUCACAUAUCGAUCUUUUCCUUGCUUUAACCUCUUAAAAGUCACAUGCAUGUUAAGGUUAAUGUGUUAUAAGGUGUUUUGAACUACCGUAUGAAAGCUUGCAGCCAAAUUCAUAGAGAAAAACUGAAAAUUUCUUCCUUUCGCUCUCUCGGACAUGUCAUCAAAUUUCUAGCAGCUUCUUUCAAUAAUUUCAGCCAAGUUUGUCAAUGAUUCACUAGUUUCAAAACAAAUAUCUUAUAAGCCAUGAGAUUAAACAUAUAUCAUACAUUUUUAGUGAAAUUUCCUCCAAGUUUUCGAAUGAACAGUUGUGAACUUCAACUCUCCUACCAUUGGCCAAGUCAAACUUUCCAGAAACGAAUCAGUUUUCACACAAGAUUUCCUUCAGCAAAACUCAUUUUUCUUGGCUAAAAACUAUCAUGCAACAUGAGAAAUCAAGAGUGCUAGAAGAUUGAGAGGUUUAUUACAAUGUUACCUCCCUUUUGCAGACAAUCUCAGCUGGAAAAAUGUGGACAGUUUCCUCCCUCUGCUCCUCAAAGAAUCGCACCAGAUUUCUCUCUUCUUGCUCCCCCCACUGCCUCUAGUUUGCACGCCAAACAGCUGCAGUCCUUCCCCCCUCUCAACUCUCCGUUGGUUGGCGUGGUAAUAGGAAAUGAUUCACUCUUUCUCCCUUACUCUCUCUUGGGUGCAGACUUGGAGCAAUGAAGAACCAGAAAUGUUUCUCACUCGGUGGUGUUUUGGAAUGAAUGGUUAUGACCGAAACUCUCUCUCUCUCUCGGUUCUGUUUCUACUGCUUGGUUGAUAAGAAGAGAAUUCGACUUAUUUCCUUCACUCAGCCGACCACUCAAGCUUCCUCAUUCGGUGCUAAUCAAUCCAAACUCUCAUUCGGUCACUGCCU
rnacentral:lncRNA from 1 species